CAGCUCUGUCCUGCUGUAUUCUGUCUACUGUCUCUUUUGUCAGUUACUUUAGCCUUCAGGGUAGGGUAGUGUUUGUCCACCUGACACCGGCUCCAGACCCACCUGCCUGAAGCUUAGAAAGAAAGCUUACAAACAGGUUUGGCUGCUUUGUCACUCUCAUCUGACUGAAUGAGCCAACACACACACAAUAAACCCAGAAAUCAGGUCCCAGUCACUGGAGUCUCUCUCACUGAAGUGCAGACAGAGAACUCGAAUUUAAAACUGAGUUUCUGUAAAGAAGUGCAUCCUGGUUUUCUGUCUCGGACCUGUGUCAAGUCUGGAUGAUGUUGGGGUCCAGGAGAAAGAACACGAUUAACAAGAGGUUCAGCAUGCUACGCGUGGUUCUGCUUAAAGUCAAUCUGUGGAAAAGCGAUGGCAGAGUGUCUCAAACAUCUAACGCAUUAGAGUCUACUCACUUGACCCACUCAUUACUCCUGUCCCCUCUUUCUGCACUUCUAAAGGUAAGAGACACUGUCUUAUUCUUUCCUUCACUCACUUCUCUCUUUCCCCACGGUGUUACAAUUUCAGGAUGUUCACUUGGUUCAUUUGUACAGAGAUUGUUUCAUCACACUGACUACAGACUUUCUCUUUUUGAUUUCACUCAGAUUUCACUUUCGCCAAGUCUGCUUCAUUCUUCCUUAAUUCUAUUUAUCUCUGCUGCAAAAAUCUUUU
ensembl:lncRNA